rnacentral:tRNA from 1 species
GGAUGGGUGGCCGAGUGGUUUAAGGCGCACGCCUGGAGAGCGUGUGGACACGAAUGUGUCUCGUGGGUUCGAAUCCCACCCCAUCCGCCA